UAACCUGCCCAAGAGAUCGGGAUAACACCUGGAAACAGAUGCUAAUACCGGAUAACAACAGAUGAUGCCUAUCAACUGUUUAAAAGAUGGUUCUGCUAUCACUCUUGGAUGGACCUGCGGUGCAUUAGCUAGUUGGUAGGGUAACGGCCUACCAAGGCGAUGAUGCAUAGCCGAGUUGAGAGACUGAUCGGCCACAUUGGGACUGAGACACGGCCCAAACUCCUACGGGAGGUAGCAGCU
rnacentral:rRNA from 1 species